CCUACGGGUGGCUGCAGUGGGGAAUAUUGCACAAUGGGGGGAACCCUGAUGCAGCGACGCCGCGUGAGUGAAGAAGUAUUUCGGUAUGUAAAGCUCUAUCAGCAGGGAAGAAAAUGACGGUACCUGACUAAGAAGCCCCGGCUAACUACGUGCCAGCAGCCGCGGUAAUACGUAGGGGGCAAGCGUUAUCCGGAUUUACUGGGUGUAAAGGGAGCGUAGACGGCAGAGCAAGUCUGAAGUGAAAGCCCGCGGCCCAACUGCGGGACUGCUUUGGAAACUGCCCGGCUAGAGUGCUGGAGAGGUAAGCGGAAUUCCUAGUGUAGCGGUGAAAUGCGUAGAUAUCUGGAGGAACAUCAGUGGCGAAGGCGACUAUCUGGCACAUAACUGACGCUGAGGAGCGAAAGCGUGGGUAGCAAACAGGAUUAGAUACCCUUGUAGUC
rnacentral:rRNA from 1 species